AACGUAGGAGACAAACGUUAUCCGGAGUUACUGGGCGUAAAGGGCGUGUAGGUGGUAUCGUAAGUCUGGCGUGAAAUUUCUCGGCUUAACCGAGGCAGGUCGUCGGAUACUGCGAGGCUAGAGGACGGUAGAGGCGUGUGGAAUUCCGGGUGUAGUGGUGAAAUGCGUAGAGAUCCGGAGGAACACCAGUGGCGAAGGCGACACGCUGGGCCGUACCUGACACUGAGGAGCGAAAGCGUGGGUAGCAAACAGG
rnacentral:rRNA from 1 species